rnacentral:rRNA from 1 species
GGAUGAGGCAUGCAAGUCGAACGUGAAAACCCUCGGGUGAGUAGCGUGGCGGACGGGCGAGUAACACGUAAUCAAGCUACCUGCCAGACGGGGAUAACUCCGGGAAACCGGAGCUAAUACCGGAUGGUCUCACGAGAUCGCAUGGUCAUGUGAGUAAAUGGACGGGAUCCUUCGGGAUCGUCUGCUGGCAGAGGUGAUUGCGGCCCAUCAGUUUGUUGGUAGGGUAAUGGCCUACCAAGACUACGACGGGUAGCCGGCCUAAGAGGGUGGUCGGUCGCACUGGGACUGAGACACUGCCCAGACUCCUACGGGAGGCUGCAGUCGAGAAUCUUCCGCAAUGGGCGAAAGCCUGACGGAGCGACGCCGCGUGGAGGACGAAGGCCCUCGGGUUGUAAACUCCUGUCACGAGUUAAGAAGGCUGUAUGGCUAAUAGCUGUGCAGCUUGACGUAAGCUCGAGAGGAAGCACUGGCUAACUCUGUGCCAGCAGCCGCGGUAAUACAGAGAGUGCGAACGUUGUUCGGAAUUACUGGGCUUAAAGCGCGCGUAGGCGGCAUUACAAGUGUCAGGUGAAAUCCCACGGCUCACCCGUGGAACUGCCCGGCAAACUGUAAAGCUAGAGUGUGGUAGGGGAGAACAGAACUCAUGGUGGAGCGGUGAAAUGCGUAGAUAUCAUGAGGAAUACCGGUGGCGAAGGCGGUUCUCUGGUCCACAACUGACGCUGAGGUGCGAAAGCUAGGGUAGCGAACGGGAUUAGAUACCCCGGUAGUCCUAGCCGUAAACGAUGGGUACUAGCUAUUGGGAGUAUCGACCCUCCCGGUGCCGUUUUAUAGAGCUAACGCGUUAAGUGUGCCGCCUGGGUAGUACGAUCGCAAGAUUAAAACUCAAAGGAAUAGACGGGGACCCGCACAAGCGGAGGAUCAUGUGGUUUAAUUCGAUAUCACGCGGCAAACCUCACCUAGGCUUGACAUGUCACUGCAAGCUCCAAGAAACUGGAGCCGCUUUCGAAGGUGUGACACAGGUGCUGCAUGGUUGCCGUCAGCUCGUGCCGUGAGGUGUACCCUUAAGUGGGGUAACGAGCGCAACCCUCGUGUUGUGUUAAAUUGUACACAACAGACUGCCUACGCAAGUAGGAGGAAGGCGGGGACGACGUCAAAUCAGCAUGGCUCUUACGCCUAGGGCUGCACACAUGAUACAAUGGCCGGUACAGAGGGUAGUUAACCCGCGAGGGGGAACCAAUCCCAGAAAACCGGCCCCAGUUCGGAUUGUAGGCUGCAACUCGCCUACAUGAAGUUGGAUUCGCUAGUAAACGCGCAUCAGCAACGGCGCGUUGAAUACGUUCUCGGGUCUUGUACACACCGCCCGU